AGUGAACGCUGGCGGUAGGCCUAACACAUGCAAGUCGAACGGCAGCACAGUAAGAGCUUGCUCUUACGGGUGGCGAGUGGCGGACGGGUGAGGAAUACAUCGGAAUCUACUUUUUCGUGGGGGAUAACGUAGGGAAACUUACGCUAAUACCGCAUACGACCUACGGGUGAAAGCAGGGGAUCUUCGGACCUUGCGCGAUUGAAUGAGCCGAUGUCGGAUUAGCUAGUUGGCGGGGUGAAGGCCCACCAAGGCGACGAUCCGUAGCUGGUCUGAGAGGAUGAUCAGCCACACUGGAACUGAGACACGGUCCAGACUCCUACGGGAGGCAGCAGUGGGGAAUAUUGGACAAUGGGCGCAAGCCUGAUCCAGCCAUACUGCGUGGGUGAAGAAGGCCUUCGGGUUGUAAAGCCCUUUUGUUGGGAAAGAAAAGCAGCAGGUUAAUACCCCGCUGUUCUGACGGUACCCAAAGAAUAAGCACCGGCUAAUUUCGUG
rnacentral:rRNA from 1 species